CCCCGGGUCAUUUUUGUCCCAAACUGAAACGAAAGCCUAAUAUACUCUCUCGCCCGAAGGAGCUCGCCAGACAUCUGCAUCUCUCAGAAAGAGAAACACGGUCGGUGAGUUCCCUCCAUCUCUGCAUCUCUGUAUUAGUUGAGUCUUCUUCUUCCUUGUCUGUUCUUCUUCUAAUUUGUUGAAAUGAAAGCAGAUCUGACUAGAUCUGGAAAAUAACUCUAUUCUCUAGCCGAAGGACCUCGCUUGAACAUGAUGGAAAGUCAAAGGAGCCCGCCGGACAUCUGCAUCUCUUAGAGAAAUAGACACGGUCGUUUAGACUUAUCUUGUGAUUGGGAUCGGUUGGACAACGAGGCAGUGCAACUUACGAGUGGUUGAAAAACUUCGGUCUUUGACAGCCUAGAAAGCUUGGUUAGCCGAAAAGUGCAUAUUUAAAGUGGUGUCGAUCAAAUGUUUUAAUUUUCUCUUUGUUGGUUUUCCUGCUAAGUUUUUUUUCUUUGUAUUUUGUUGAAGAAAAUCUAUCUCGUGUUCCUUGGAUGUGGAAAAUAAUUCCAUUUGAUACUUUUCAUUGA